AGCGAACGCUGGCGGCAGGCUUAACACAUGCAAGUCGAGCGGGCAUAGCAAUAUGUCGGCGGCAGACGGGUGAGUAACGCGUGGGAACGUACCUUUUGGUUCGGAACAACACAGGGAAACUUGUGCUAAUACCGGAUAAGCCCUUACGGGGAAAGAUUUAUCGCCGAAAGAUCGGCCCGCGUCUGAUUAGCUAGUUGGUGAGGUAAUGGCUCACCAAGGCGACGAUCAGUAGCUGGUCUGAGAGGAUGAUCAGCCACAUUGGGACUGAGACACGGCCCAAACUCCUACGGGAGGCAGCAGUGGGGAAUAUUGGACAAUGGGCGCAAGCCUGAUCCAGCCAUGCCGCGUGAGUGAUGAAGGCCCUAGGGUUGUAAAGCUCUUUUGUGCGGGAAGAUAAUGACGGUACCGCAAGAAUAAGCCCCGGCUAACUUCGUGCCAGCAGCCGCAGUAA
rnacentral:rRNA from 1 species